ensembl:lncRNA
UGCUGCCAGGAGGGGUGGCUCGAGCUGCUUCUGCGCCCAGCCCACCCUCGUCCAGCCGCCUGUCUGUGCCUAAGGAGAUGAGGUUGCUGAAUUCCUUCUCUAGGAGUUGCCGGGCCUGGAGAAGGAGGCGGGAGAGAAGUUGGUGUGUGCAAUCUCCACUGGGAGAGCCCGGCCUACUCCAGGCCCAGGGACCGCUCACCUGCGCGUUCUGCGUGGGGAUCUGCAGGAGCAAGGCCAGGUCGGAGUAGUCGAAGGUCUCGUCCAGGGCGAGCAGAGCCCCAUGCACCCCGCUUUCUCCGUGAGAUUCGUGGCGAAUUCCUUCAGGCCCAGCCCGGACACCCAACCCAUGACUCGCUCGUUGGACCACACCAUGACGUCUGGGAACGGAAGGGACCCUCAGCCGCGCUCCCCUAGUGCUCAGGUCUUCCUCUUCCCUGGCCUCUCUUUCCCACCCAUGCCUCUGCCGUUCCCCUCCACCUGGCCCACCCUCUUCUCCUCACCUCGGAUCUGGGUCUGGCUCUCUUCCCUUCUCCGCUCCAGGUCCUUUCGGUCAUAGUUCAGCCGUUUUAGGCACAUAAUCCCAUAAUGUAGACUCACCCUUCGCAGCAAGGGAACGGGAAUCUCAGGGGAGCCUCGCAGCCCCUCCUCUGGCCCCUCUCCAUUGGCUGUGCUAUUCUGGACAGGUCGGGGAGCUCCAAUGAUCAGCCACACUGCUUGUAGGCCCUCCCAGGAGGCGGGGGAUUUUCAACACACAGUUCCUACCGGCUAACCUGGCCCGGGUGUGGGGUUAACCAGCCAAGCUAUCUCUGGAUUUGAGCUUUUCCUACGGACCAUCUUCUUGGUCCACAGAGCACCGAGCCUGGAUUUCCUGACAAAGCCAGGCUGAAGGGCCAAAGAUAAUCCUAAAGAUUUCCCAUCACCAGCCCCACGGGCCAUAGACUCUCUAGGGGUGGGGCUCCCCGCGUCCCCGCCAGCCAGGCAGCCCCCACCUGUGGAAGCUGUCCACCAUCUUGAGCUGGCCCCGGAGUUCCUUCUUGUUAAGGUGAUCUAACAUUCGGGCAUCCACCAGCGACUCCAUGAAGUAGCUGCGGUACUGGGGCAGCCCCAGGCUGGGCAGCCAGUCGUUUCCCACCCACUGCGUGGUUCAUGUCUCCAUAUGCCAGGAUCUGGGGCCAUGGGGAGGUGGGGAGGUCAGGCUCUCUGGGCCCUUCCCGUGUGUGUAGGAAAGGGGUACAGUCCAGCCCCCUAACCCAAGGUUGUUCUUCCCCUACCCCAGAGCAGGACAAUGACCAAUCUCUGCUUUGGACAAUGGGCCAAUCCAAAAUUAUCUCCUACACCGUGACAGAACAGUCUCAGCCUGGUCCAAGGACCCUCAGCGAAGCGCCACCAUCAUGCAUGCGCUUGGCAGAACCCGAACCCACACCCAGCUUACUGAAGUCAGUAUUUACAUUUUCACAAGAUCCCCAGAGACCUGAACUAUGCAUUAAAUUUUGAAAAGCACUGGUCUAACUGUGUUCCAACUCAAUCUGACAUCACUACUCUCCCAAGGUAGGUGAGUGGAUUCUCCUAGCAUGGCUCCCCCCAACAGAGGAGCAUCACUCCCACGGUGUCUUGAAGAUACUCAUCUAACGCUGCACCUGACCUAGGACCAAGUUCUGGGUCAGCCCAAAGCCCUUCACUCUCGUUAACGUAAUCCACACUUCUGCUGGCUGGAAACCAAGACCAUGGCCCAACAUGGCUCCUCCGUCACAGCAGGGUCAUGUCCCUCCCUUCUUGAGAACAAAGGGUAGCUUCCCUCCCCACUUCGAAUUCUGCCUGGUCUGCUUCACCACCACCAUAACCUGCAACCGCGCAGCAUAGCCCUCUUGCCCUUAACCCUAGGGGAAAGCAGGCGGCUAGCAAUGUCCUCCAGUCACAGAAAAGGAACAGCCCCUGGAGCUCCCACAACCCUGCAAAGGCCUGGCCAGAACAGGGUGGCUUUCACUUGCCCCCCCACCAUGCUUCAAUAAACCAGUCCAGAGCUGAGCUCGGCGCCGCGGCCCCAGCCCCGGCCCGCGGGACGAUGGGACGUUCCAGGGAGGGAAAGGGCGGGGCUAAGAGGGAGGGGCGAGCAUGCCGCGUGCACAACCUGUUCAUGCGCCCACGCCCCGCCCCGCGCCCCUACCUGCUCCCAGCUGAUCUCCUUGGUCUCCUGACCCGUUAGUGGGAAGAGGGGAGAGAAGGGGUGGGUUAAGGGGCAGGCAGAGGAGGACGGAAGGGACGGAGAGACGGACAGCCACAGACUCGUCCCCGCCCCGCCCCCGCGGAGGGUUAGUGUCAUCCCCUAGGCCGCCGGCAGGGGCACUCACGGGCUUCGUUGCGGCCGUCAGGGACUCCAUCUCCUCGUGUGUCAUCCACACGUUUCCUGUGGGCUGAGGAGCAGGGGACCUUAGGGGACAGAGCGGAUCUCGGACGGGGGCAGAGAAUGUGGUCGAACACCGAGGCCCCUGGGACAAACGCUUCUGCACAUCCUGCUUCCUUGGGGCCCCACAGGAACAGGGAAGAGGAUGGAUCCCCUACUGAGCACCUUCCUCGACCAGGCUGCGUGGCCUCCUGACAUCGCCCAGGAUUGAGCAGCAGGUGGCAGGCACAGCAAGGGGUGGGGUUUGCUCACACUGAUUGAGUUACUGCUGCCGGCAACCCCACCAGUUAGGAAUUCUUACUUGGACCCAAACGUUUGUGUGGGUCCUGGUGUCAGGCAUGGUCCGGGGGUCUGGGAUAUGGCAAGGAAUUCAACAGGCAGGGAGGGCCCUCAUCUCGGAGGAAACAUGUUGACCAAGUUAUAAAUACGGCUGGGUUUGGUGGCACACUCCAGUGAUUCCAGCAUUUUGGGAGGCUGAGGCAGGAAGAUCACAAGUUUGGACGCAGACCAAGCAAUUUGGCAAUUUGGCAAAAAUUGUGUUUUAUUUUAGCAAAAAUAAAACACAAUGUUAAAAGGGCCGGGAUGUAGCUCAGUGUGCAGGUCCUGGUUCAAUCCCCAGUACCACAAACAAGUAAUCCACUCUUAGGUGUGAUAAGGGAAUGGUGGCUACAAAGGAGAAAGAGACGCCGCUGAAGUCAUUUGGGGAUCGACCUGUUGUGAUGGCCUCAAAUGACAUCCAAGCACCUCAGACGUUCACUCCAGUGCGGAAACAGCAGUCGGAGCAGGGGAGAAAUGCAGAAAACCAGACGGAGAAUCCCACAGACAAAGACACGGGAGGACACAAAGGGACAUCGGAAAAAUGACAGAGCAAGACCAAGGUGGGUAGGACCAAGGGCAGGGGGUGGAAGAGGAGAAAGAAGCUGUUUCUACUGACAG